CCGAUAAUCGGUACGGGUUGUGAGAGCAAGAGCCCGGAGAUGGAUUCUGAGACACGAAUCCAGGUCCUACGGGGCGCAGCAGGCGCGAAAACUUUACACUGCGCGAAAGCGCGAUAAGGGGACCUCGAGUGCGUGCGCAAAGCGUACGCUUUUCAGAUGCCUAAAAAGCAUCUGGAAUAAGGGCCGGGCAAGACCGGUGCCAGCCGCCGCGGUAACACCGGCGGCUCAAGUGGUGGCCGCUAUUAUUGGGCUUAAAGGGUCCGUAGCCGGACCAGUUAGUCCCUUGGGAAAUCUUACGGCUUAACCGUAAGGCUGCCAAUGGAUACUGCUGGUCUUGGGACCGGGAGAGGCAAGAGGUACCUCAGGGGUAGGAGUGAAAUCCUGUAAUCCUUGAGGGACCGCCAGUGGCGAAGGCGUCUUGCUAGAACGGGUCCGACGGUGAGGGACGAAAGCUAGGGGCACGAACCGGAUUAGAUACCCGGGUAGUCCUAGCCGUAAACGAUGCGAGCUAGGUGUCACGUGGAUUGCGAAUCCAUGUGGUGCCGAAGGGAAACCGUGAAGCUCGCCGCCUGGGAAGUACGGCCGCAAGGCUGAAACUUAAAGGAAUUGGCGGGGGAGCAC
rnacentral:rRNA from 1 species